AUCGAGUAGCGGCCGCUUAGGCAGCAACAUCCGCAACAAGUGUAGACAAGGUCCCGCCUGACUCCGCCCUGGAAAGUCCUUUUGAAGAAAUGGCCCUGGUGAGGGGCGGCUGGCUGUGGAGACAGAGCUCCAUCCUCCGCCGCUGGAAGCGGAACUGGUUUGCCCUGUGGCUGGACGGGACCCUGGGAUACUACCACGAUGAGACAGCGCAGGAUGAGGAGGACCGUGUGCUCAUCCACUUCAAUGUCCGUGACAUAAAGAUCGGCCAAGAGUGCCAUGAUGUGCAGCCCCCAGAGGGCCGGAGCCGAGAUGGCCUGCUGACUGUGAACCUACGGGAAGGCGGCCGCCUGCACCUCUGUGCGGAGACCAAGGAUGAUGCCCUGUGAGUCACUCCCAGGAGAGGAUGGGGUGGAAUCUCGGGGAAAGUUACCAUGUGCCCCCUUCUCAUUGGGCCUUCUGGUUCUCUGACCGUAGGAAGAGGGCACUAAGGCCAGUCAGCAAGGGUGUCUUAUUGGAGGUGGGUGGAGUGGAUUUGAAGGGCCUGUGGUGACUGGCAUGGCAC
rnacentral:sRNA from 1 species